GGGAGUGGCACCUGUGAGGCCUCAAAGUCCCUCUUGCACUCCCCCCCCCAUGUGCAGCUGACAUGAGCAAACUCCCUUUGCCCGGGCGACGUUCCGAUGGGAGGCCCGUUCUGACCUUUGGGAUGCACGCUUGGUGGUCUGACCAGCAGCCAGAUAAGACAGUUCCUGAGAGAGUCCAAAGGUGUAAGUCCAGGCCGGUAACGUGGAAUUGAUCCCUCCCUCCCUCCCUCCCUCCCUCCCUCCCUUGCUCCUCCUCCUCACGCAGGAGUGAAUCACCCGGCAAAAAGGGAAGGAAAGGCCCCCGCCUGGCACACCGUCUUGUGCCAGCUCAGCCCGCUGCCGCCUCCGAGUGCCGCGCAGGAGUAUGACCAACAGCAAGGGGCUCCGGAAGGCCUGGUCCCUGCGGGCCCCCAAGUCCCCCGCCCUCCUGGGCCCACCCUUCGGAAGCUUCUACGGCCACCUGGAGGACUCGGAGCUCCCCAGGGAGGCCGACGGUGCCACCACCGUGUGGGGAGCCCACCCGGGCGUCCCCGAGGAAGAGGCCGCACAAAAGCCCGCGGGGAGCAGGGGGAGCCGGAGGAGGCGGGCGGCCAGCCUGAAGAUACGGCGCGCAGAAGGGGAAGAGGAUGCGGCGACGGAAGAAGCUGCCCACUCCCUGGGGCCCGGCGAUGGGCACAAGCUGAUCGUGGAUACCCCUGGCAAGGCAGAAGGGAAGGUGAAAAAAUGCAAAAAGCAGGUCAGUCGCGCCCUCCGGCUAGGCUGGGAGAUCUUCCUCGUCAACGUGUCCAGCCUGACGCUCAGCCAAUCAAACCGCGUCUCCGCCAGCAGUCCUUCCCGCCCGACGGGGGCAGCAGCCUGAAUCUACGAACUCGCUCAGACCUCAGAUGGACUGGGUCAAGAGCCAGGGCGCUGCCUCCUUCCGCUGCCCCCUUUCUUUGACACUCUCAGGCGUGUCAGAAGGAGCCCCUCCAGCUCAGAUGGAUUCCGCCACUGGCGGCGACAACCCUCCGUGCCAUCACCUGCAGGGCGCUGUGGGGCUGCAUGGUUAUGGGCCCAGAAAACAAUUAACCCUCUGUCUCUCCCGGCGAGCGGCAGCUGCAAACUCUUUCACCUAGAGGGGGAACCAGAGCGUGGGAAAGCCUUUUGGACUGUAACCCCCCCGAGCCUCAGAAGAAGACAGGAAGUUGAAAACAAUGCCGCCCAGACUGAAGUGAUCUUGCCACUCAUUGCAGCUUUCACCAUGAGUAGCAGCAUCACAGGACCCUUUUGCCCCAGAAGCAACUCUGCCUCCAGGAACCAUAUGAAGGUGCAUGCAAGAUAAUGCAGACACACACACACCAUGGUGCCUUUCUGCUUCCUGCAGGGGAACAGCGCUGGUGCCAGCUGCUGAUGUGGGCACAGGGCUUUUGCCCCACAAUGCCCCUAGCGUGUGUGAACCAGGGUCCCAAACUGUGGCCCUCUAGAUAUUCCUAGACUCCAACCCCCCUCAUUCCACAAGGCUGCCAUAGAAUGCCGAGGGUGGGAUACUGGGAGCUGUAGUCCAGGAGCCUCUGGACAACCAAAGCUUGAUACCUGUGACGCCAGCCCUAGCGAAAUUCCCUUGCUAGGGCAUCUUUGUGCUGAGGCCAAGCGGAUACUUGGUUGCCAAGCCUACCUUGAAAGCCUCGUUCGCCCUUUAGAGCUUUUGGAAUUUGCACCUGAGGUUCAUUUUUUUUUCCAUUUCAGUUGCUUUUGGGGAGCAUNGUGUUUGCCCAGGGGAGCUGCUAAGAAAGGGGAUUGACACAAGAAGAGGCUUAACCCCAAACCUCUAGCUUAGGGAAUGUGUGAAAAGAGCUUGGGAAGUCCUGUUUGUUCUUCACGCAUUCUCCGGCACUAAAUUACCUUUUUAUAUUCUCUUGCACUAAAUUAUUAUUUUACCUCUUUCUGUUUCUCGGUUUCUCCGUCUCUCACAAGCCGGACUUUCCUUGCGUUUUCUGCCUUGUGAGAGAGGGAAGAAUUUGUGGAAGUACACAGUUGUAGAUGAACAUGAUUUGCAACCAGAAAGUGUUGCUGAAACCAAUAAACGUAAAUUCCAC
ensembl:lncRNA